rnacentral:rRNA from 1 species
AGCGAACGCUGGCGGCAGGCCUAACACAUGCAAGUCGAACGAACAUUUCGGGGUUAGUGGCGGCCGGGGGAGAAACACGUGGGAACGUGCCUUUAGGUUCGGGAUAACUCAGGGAAACGUGUGCUAAUACCGAAUGUGCCCUCCUGGGGAAAGAUUUAUCGCCUUUAGAGCGGCCCGCGUCCGAUUAGCUAGUUGGGUGAGGUAAUGUCUCACCAAGGCGACGAACAGUAGCUGGUCUGAGAGGAGGGUCAGCCACAUUUGGACUGAGACACAGCCCAAACUCCUACGGGAGGCAGCAGUGGGGAAUCUUGCGCAGUGGGCGAAAGCCUGACGCAGCCAUGCCGCGUGAAUGAUGAAGGUCUUAGGAUUGUAACAUUCUUUCACCGGGGACGAUCAUGACGGUACCCGAAGAAUAAGCCCCGGCUAACUACGUG